CUGCUAUGUCUCUCAGUCUUGGCCAGGUGGAGCUCAUCAGGCAAAUCAGAUUCAGAUUUGGCUGGAGGGGUAGGGCUCGACACAGGAAAGAUGGCAUCUGCCUGCCAACUGCAUGAAAGGAAGAUUCCACACAGGGAAAUUGGCAACUGUCCACCAGGCCUCUCUUUGAAGACACACACCUCAGUCUGCUCCCCGUAUGCCUCCAAUGCUCCUCCAAGUCACUGUCUCACCGCUGGAGCAUAAGGAGUAUGGCUCCACGACUUCAAGUUUUGUUCUCAUACCACUGGCUCCUCAACGCCAACCAUUUUGUGAUGACACUGUGCCCUGAAGCCAGAGGAAAACCCCGGUACUAGGCCUGGCUGGCUGGGAUAUGACAUGUCAGUCUCCCAAGUGGCAGUUCAAACUGCCGUCAGCUCCCUGGCCUAUGCUGAUGCUGGUAUUAUGAGCCUCCCUGCCCUGCCACUGAGGCAGUGGGUCGCUGGUUGGUCGUCAGUCGCUCACAGCAGUUCAUGGCAGCUCCCGCCAGCAGCCGGCGACU